GUUUACUGAUAUUCUCAAGAUGCGUAAUAUUUCAUUUUAUAUCAGGAUCAGACUAAACAUCAAUCAAGUACUUGCACAGGCAGAACCACCACAUCAAGUCAGUCUUACAAGAAUGCUGUCAGAGACCACAGGACAGAAAACCUUUCCUCAGCCAACAAGGACAAUUCCUCAGUCGAAUGUAGGCUGCUGUAAUGAGAUGUGGAUAACUGCAACAUGUUCCCCAGCACCCUCAGUGCAUUGCCUCUUUCACAAGCGUGGCUCACACAGAAGGCUUUCUGAACCCCGCAGCUUCAUGUGCAGCAGGGAGUUUGCUCUACACAUUUCUUUCCUUCUCCUUCUCAAGCGCUUGUUCUUUCAGUUGGUUGACGAGUUCCUCAGCAUACACCUUGAAGAGUGGGACAGGGUCCUUUUUUUCUAGAAGCCUCUGUUUUUCUAUUGCUUCUUCCAAACUUAAGCCAACCCAUUCAGCUUCCUCUUCUGGAAUCACAAAUUCCCGGUACUUGUUAUAGAUCGCCUCUCUCCUGGCCGGGUCGUCAGGAUGCAGCUUGGGAUCCCUCCGUGCGAGUCGCAGCAGCAUCGUUCGCUUCAAGUCCAUCCCCAGCUUUGAGCACAUAUCUGCUUUUGGGGUCUUCAGGAUGUAGAAGUCGAAGCCAUAGGCCUGGUCGAUGAGGUCCAGCGUGCGCAUAGUGACGGUGAUGGUGAGCUUGGCGUCCAGGAUCUCGCUGUAGAACUGCCGCUUGAACAGCUGCGGCUUCCAGAUCUUUGGCACUCGCGUAGAGAGCUUAUCGUUGUUCGCGUAGCGGAAGCCGCGGAUCCAGCCCUCGCCGCCCCACAGCCCCUCGUCAGCAGCACGGGGCAGGAACACAGGCACCGGCACGUCCUGCACCCGCUCCCGCUCCCCGGUGCGUGGGUUCCGCCGGUACCGCACACCCAGCGGCCGCCAGUGCACGGGCGUGGGCUGCGUGUCAUCGUUCAGCUGGGCCAGGAAAUGCGCGGGCAGCCGCGCGCAGAUCCCUUCCUGCAGCCGCAGCUUCGGCCACAGCCGCGGCGGGACCUUGUGCAGCACCAUCGCCGCCGCCUUCCGCUUCCGGUCCCAGCGGCAUCCGCGGCCGGAAGUGGAGGGUGGAGCGACUUUCCAUUGGCUGGCGGAGCCGAGCUGAGGGGGGCGGGCUGACGGUGGCCGGCGAGGGUCAAUCCGCGACCGCGUUCGCACGGCGCCCCCCUCAACCCCCGUACGCACAGACGCCCCGCACACAAUAAGAGCUCGACUCGAGCUUGCCCUCAAAUACCAUUACAUUUAUUAAAUUAUAAAAUCAGAAGCUUUAAAAUUUACCGUAUAAAAUAAUCACAGGUAUGAACAGCGAAGGAAAACAAACAAACAAACAAACAAACGAAAAACCAAACUCGGAUUUCCUCCGACUUUACCCGAAAUCAAGAAGGAAAGGCCCCCCCCGGCAGCGCCCGGAGCCGCACAGAAGGCCGGGGGGGGAUUAUUGCUUCAGUCGGUCGCUGCAGCACCGGUGGGCACGGCGGGACGCGGAGGGGCUGCUGGCAGCCGGCACGCAUAGGGCAUGGACGGAACGCGCAGGGGAAGGGGCGUGGAGCCUCCGGUCUGUUACUGAAACACGGGUGGACGGGAGGGGGGCGGCCCUGAGCACCUGCAGGCAGGCACUGCGGGAAGGCUGCAUUGCCACAGUCACUGCUAUGAGGUUGGAGGCACCUCGGGGUCCCUCUGACCCGGCAGAGCCGCCCAGCGCAGGGCCGGCCCCACCGGCACCCACAGCCUCCGGGCAGCCUCUGCCGGGGCUGCGGCACCGCACAGCGCAGCAGUGUUGCCUGACGGGCAGAGGGAACGGCUGUGCUCCCGGCUGUGCGCAGUGCCAUCGCUGGGAGGAGCCUGGCUGGGUCCUCUUUGUGCCCUCCCUUCUGGUAUUUAUGGGCAGGGAUGAGAUCCCCCUGAGUCUGCCCCAGCUGCACAGCCCCAGCACUCAGCCUCUCCUCCCAGGAGAGGUGCUGCAGUCCUUUCAGCCUCUUGGUGGCUCUUCACUGGACUCUCACCAGGCUCUGUUGCACAGGGAGAGCCAGAACUGGAUGCCACGCUCCAGGUACAGCCUCAUCAAUGCUGAGCAGAGGGGAAUGAUCGUUUCUCUAGACCUGCUGGCACUACUUGCCUGAUGAAGCCAAGAACUGUCAGCCUCCUCAAUGGCAAGGACACAUUGCUGACUCUUGCUCAACCUGGUGUCCAGCAGGAGGACCCCCAGGGGCCUUUCCAGCUGGGCACCCCCAGCAUACGCUGGCGCCUGGGGCUGUUCCUUCCCCGGUGCAAAGGCAGAGGCUGGAUUAACAGGCAGAUUAAUU
rnacentral:lncRNA from 1 species